rnacentral:rRNA from 1 species
CCUACGGGAGGCAGCAGUGGGGAAUAUUGGGCAAUGGAGGCAACUCUGACCCAGCAACGCAGCGUGAAUGAUGAAGGUCUUCGGAUUGUAAAGUUCUGUGAUGGAGGAUGAAAACAAUGACGGUACCCGAAUAGCAAGCAACGGAUAACUACGUGCCAGCAGCCGCGGUAAUACGUAGGGGGCAAGAGUUAUCCGGAAUGACUGGGCGUAAAGGGUGCGUGGGUGGUUUAGUAAGUUGGCGGUGUAAUUCCGGGGCUCAACCUCGGCGCUACCGCCAAAACUAUUAGACUUGAGUGCAGGAGGGGUAAGUGGAAUUCGUAGUGUAGCGGUGGAAUGCUUAGAUAUUAGGAGGAACAUCAGGGGCGAAGGCGAUUUACUGGACUGUAACUGACACUGAGGCACGAAAGCGUGGGGAGCAAACAGGAUUAGAUACCCUUGUAGUC